UUAAGCGACUAAGCGUACACGGUGGAUGCCCUGGCAGUCAGAGGCGAUGAAGGACGUGCUAAUCUGCGAAAAGCGCCGGCGAGGUGAUAUGAACCCUUGACCCGGCGAUGUCCGAAUGGGGAAACCCAGUGCAAUCCGUUGCACUAUCGUUAACUGAAUACAUAGGUUAACGAGGCGAACCGGGGGAACUGAAACAUCUAAGUACCCCGAGGAAAAGAAAUCAACCGAGAUUCCCCCAGUAGCGGCGAGCGAACGGGGAGCAGCCCGGAGUCUGAAUCAGCUUGUGUGUUAGUGGAACGGUCUGGAAAGUCCGACGGUACAGGGUGAUAGUCCCGUACACGAAAAUGCACAUGCUGUGAACUCGAAGAGUAGGGCGGGACACGUGGUAUCCUGUCUGAAUAUGGGGGGACCAUCCUCCAAGGCUAAAUACUCCUGACUGACCGAUAGUGAACCAGUACCGUGAGGGAAAGGCGAAAAGAACCCCGGCGAGGGGAGUGAAAAAGAACCUGAAACCGUGUACGUACAAGCAGUGGGAGCCUCUUUAUGGGGUGACUGCGUACCUUUUGUAUAAUGGGUCAGCGACUUAUAUUCUGUAGCAAGGUUAACCGUAUAGGGGAGCCGAAGGGAAACCGAGUCUUAACUGGGCGUUAAGUUGCAGGGUAUAGACCCGAAACCCGGUGAUCUAGCCAUGGGCAGGUUGAAGGUUGGGUAACACUAACUGGAGGACCGAACCGACUAAUGUUGAAAAAUUAGCGGAUGACCUGUGGCUGGGGGUGAAAGGCCAAUCAAACCGGGAGAUAGCUGGUUCUCCCCGAAAGCUAUUUAGGUAGCGCCUCGUGAACUCAUCUUCGGGGGUAGAGCACUGUUUCGGCUAGGGGGCCAUCCCGGCUUACCAACCCGAUGCAAACUACGAAUACCGAAGAAUGUUAUCACGGGAGACACACGGCGGGUGCUAACGUCCGUCGUGAAGAGGGAAACAACCCAGACCGCCAGCUAAGGUCCCAAAGUCAUGGUUAAGUGGGAAACGAUGUGGGAAGGCACAGACAGCCAGGAUGUUGGCUUAGAAGCAGCCAUCAUUUAAAGAAAGCGUAAUAGCUCACUGGUCGAGUCGGCCUGCGCGGAAGAUGUAACGGGGCUAAACCAUGCACCGAAGCUGCGGCAGCGACACUAUGUGUUGUUGGGUAGGGGAGCGUUCUGUAAGCCGUUGAAGGUGUGCUGUGAGGCAUGCUGGAGGUAUCAGAAGUGCGAAUGCUGACAUAAGUAACGAUAAAGCGGGUGAAAAGCCCGCUCGCCGGAAGACCAAGGGUUCCUGUCCAACGUUAAUCGGGGCAGGGUGAGUCGACCCCUAAGGCGAGGCCGAAAGGCGUAGUCGAUGGGAAACAGGUUAAUAUUCCUGUACUUGGUGUUACUGCGAAGGGGGGACGGAGAAGGCUAUGUCAGCCGGGCGACGGUUGUCCCGGUUUAAGCAUGUAGGCGGAGGUUCCAGGUAAAUCCGGUACCUUGUUAACGCUGAGGUGUGAUGACGAGGCACUACGGUGCUGAAGUGAUAAAUGCCCUGCUUCCAGGAAAAGCCUCUAAGCAUCAGGUAACACGAAAUCGUACCCCAAACCGACACAGGUGGUCAGGUAGAGAAUACCAAGGCGCUUGAGAGAACUCGGGUGAAGGAACUAGGCAAAAUGGUGCCGUAACUUCGGGAGAAGGCACGCUGAUGUGUAGGUGAAGCCCCUGCGGGCGGAGCUGAAAUCAGUCGAAGAUACCAGCUGGCUGCAACUGUUUAUUAAAAACACAGCACUGUGCAAACACGAAAGUGGACGUAUACGGUGUGACGCCUGCCCGGUGCCGGAAGGUUAAUUGAUGGGGUUAGCGGCAACGCGAAGCUCUUGAUCGAAGCCCCGGUAAACGGCGGCCGUAACUAUAACGGUCCUAAGGUAGCGAAAUUCCUUGUCGGGUAAGUUCCGACCUGCACGAAUGGCGUAAUGAUGGCCAGGCUGUCUCCACCCGAGACUCAGUGAAAUUGAACUCGCUGUGAAGAUGCAGUGUACCCGCGGCAAGACGGAAAGACCCCGUGAACCUUUACUAUAGCUUGACACUGAACACUGGUCCUUGAUGUGUAGGAUAGGUGGGAGGCUUUGAAGCGUGGACGCCAGUCUGCGUGGAGCCAACCUUGAAAUACCACCCUUUAAUGGCUGGUGUUCUAACGUAGACCCGUAAUCCGGGUUGCGGACAGUGUCUGGUGGGUAGUUUGACUGGGGCGGUCUCCUCCCAAAGAGUAACGGAGGAGCACGAAGGUUGGCUAAUCCUGGUCGGACAUCAGGAGGUUAGUGCAAUGGCAUAAGCCAGCUUGACUGCGAGCGUGACGGCGCGAGCAGGUGCGAAAGCAGGUCAUAGUGAUCCGGUGGUUCUGAAUGGAAGGGCCAUCGCUCAACGGAUAAAAGGUACUCCGGGGAUAACAGGCUGAUACCGCCCAAGAGUUCAUAUCGACGGCGGUGUUUGGCACCUCGAUGUCGGCUCAUCACAUCCUGGGGCUGAAGUAGGUCCCAAGGGUAUGGCUGUUCGCCAUUUAAAGUGGUACGCGAGCUGGGUUUAGAACGUCGUGAGACAGUUCGGUCCCUAUCUGCCGUGGGCGCUGGAGAAUUGAGGGGGGCUGCUCCUAGUACGAGAGGACCGGAGUGGACGCAUCACUGGUGUUCGGGUUGUCAUGCCAAUGGCACUGCCCGGUAGCUAAAUGCGGAAGAGAUAAGUGCUGAAAGCAUCUAAGCACGAAACUUGCCCCGAGAUGAGUUCUCCCUGAGACUUUAAGUCUCCUGAAGGAACGUUGAAGACGACGACGUUGAUAGGUCGGGUGUGUAAGCGCAGCGAUGCGUUGAGCUAACCGAUACUAAUGAACCGUGAGGCUUAACCUU
rnacentral:rRNA from 3 species